rnacentral:rRNA from 1 species
UACGGAGGGGGUUAGCGUUGUUCGGAAUUACUGGGCGUAAAGCGCACGUAGGCGGAUUAAUAAGUCAGAGGUGAAAUCCCAGGGCUCAACCCUGGAACUGCCUUUGAUACUGUUAGUCUUGAGUUCGAGAGAGGUAAGUGGAAUUCCGAGUGUAGAGGUGAAAUUCGUAGAUAUUCGGAGGAACACCAGUGGCGAAGGCGACUUACUGGCUCGAUACUGACGCUGAGGUGCGAAAGUGUGGGGAGCAAAC